GCUCAGGAUGAACGCUAGCGGCAGGCUUAACACAUGCAAGUCGAGGGGUAGAGGCCUUCGGGCCUUGAGACCGGCGCACGGGUGCGUAACGCGUAUGCAAUCUGCCUUCCACAGAGGGAUAGCCCAGAGAAAUUUGGAUUAAUACCUCAUAGCAUCAUGACCCGGCAUCGGGAUAUGAUUAAAGUCACAACGGUGGAAGAUGAGCAUGCGUCCCAUUAGCUAGUUGGUAAGGUAAUGGCUUACCAAGGCUACGAUGGGUAGGGGUCCUGAGAGGGAGAUCCCCCACACUGGUACUGAGACACGGACCAGACUCCUACGGGAGGCAGCAGUGAGGAAUAUUGGUCAAUGGGCGCAAGCCUGAACCAGCCAUGCCGCGUGCAGGAUGACGGUCCUAUGGAUUGUAAACUGCUUUUGUACGGGAAGAAACCCUCCUACGUGUAGGAGCUUGACGGUACCGUAAGAAUAAGGAUCGGCUAACUCCGUGCCAGCAGCCGCGGUAAUACGGAGGAUCCAAGCGUUAUCCGGAAUCAUUGGGUUUAAAGGGUCUGUAGGCGGUCUUGUAAGUCAGUGGUGAAAGCCCAUCGCUCAACGGUGGAACGGCCAUUGAUACUGCUGGACUUGAAUUAUUGGGAAGCAACUAGAAUAUGUAGUGUAGCGGUGAAAUGCUUAGAGAUUACAUGGAAUACCAAUUGCGAAGGCAGGUUGCUACCAAUGGAUUGACGCUGAUGGACGAAAGCGUGGGUAGCGAACAGGAUUAGAUACCCUGGUAGUCCACGCCGUAAACGAUGGAUACUAGCUGUUGGGCGCAAGUUCAGUGGCUAAGCGAAAGUGAUAAGUAUCCCACCCUGGGGAGUAC
rnacentral:rRNA from 1 species